AGCAUUAGGGUUUUAAACCCUAAACUGUACACUUUUCCUUUAGUCAGCAUUAGGGUUUUAAACCCUAAACUGAACUCUUUCCUUUAGUCAGCAUUAGGGUUUUAAACCCUAAACUGAAUACUUUUCCUUUAGUCAGCAUUAGGGUUUUAAACCCUAAACUGAACUCUUUCCUUUAGUCAGCAUUAAGGUUUUAAACCCUAAACUGAACACUUUUCCUUUAGUCAGCAUUAGGGUUUUAAACCCUAAACUGAACUCUUUUCCUUCAGUCAGCAUUAGGGUUUUAAACCCUAAACUGAACUCUUUUCCUUCAGUCAGCAUUAGGGUUUUAAACCCUAAACUGAACUCUUCCCUUUAGUCACCAUUAGGGUUUUAAACCCUAAACUGAACUUUUCCCUUUAAUCAGGAUUAGAGUUUUAAACUCUAAACUGAACUUUUCCUUAAUCAGCAUUAGGGCCCCAACCCUAAACUGAACUUUUCCCCAGUUGGUCAGCAUUAGGGCUCCAACCCUGAACUGAACUAUUUCCAUUCCGCUAGCCUUAGGGCUCCAACCCUAAACUGAGUAUUCUUACCUUGUGGCAAUAUCGUUGAUCCAAUCCCGGAGUUGGCAUCUCGGAAACUGGAAUUUUCCAAUUCCUUCAUCAAUUCUAUGAACUUUCUGGCAAAUAACUCACGAAAUUUUCCUAGUGAAACUGGGGCAGAAAAUUUCAUUCGUUUGUUUUUCCCUGCAGGUCUGACCUCGAGGCGCAUGGAUCAAGAAGACCCACGAGAUGAGCCUGAACCCAGAAUAAAAAAAAAGAGAAGAUGUUCCGAGAUGCUUGAAAAAAUGAAGGGCGGAUCGCUCCAAGUUUCGAUCAAGGCCCCGAGUUCUACCACUCCCGUCUCACUCAGUGUCGCAGAAAUAAACAGGCACCUACAACUUGCAAGCAUUAAGAUUCAGAUCGAAGUCUACAAGCAAAAUCAGCUAAGACCCGAGAUCAAGUUGCAAAAGAAUCAUAGAUAGGAAUCUUGUAAUUAGCAAGUGACAAGCAUAAGUAGUUAGUUCAGUUUCAAUUUUUUGGUUGUAAUAAGGCGGUCAGUAAAGCAACAGUGACAACAGCAACAGCAGUAACAACAAGCAUUGCAAUCCCAUGGUAGUCCUAGCUGCCAAAAAUUUCCCGAACUACAUUGACCUGAUUCCUGUUUAGC
rnacentral:lncRNA from 1 species